GAUAAACGCUGGCGGCGCACAUAAGACAUGCAAGUCGAACGAACUUAACCCUUUGUUUACAUUGGGAGCGGUUAGUGGCGGACUGGUGAGUAACACGUAAGCAACCUGCCUAUUAGAGGGGAAUAACAGUGAGAAAUCAUUGCUAAUACCGCAUAUGCUCACAGUAUCACAUGAUACAGUGAGGAAAGGAGCAAUCCGCUAAUAGAUGGGCUUGCGUCUGAUUAGCUAGUUGGUGGGGUAACGGCCUACCAAGGCGACGAUCAGUAGCCGGACUGAGAGGUUGAACGGCCACAUUGGGACUGAGAUACGGCCCAGACUCCUACGGGAGGCAGCAGUCGGGAAUAUUGCGCAAUGGAGGAAACUCUGACGCAGUGACGCCGCGUAUAGGAAGAAGGUUUUCGGAUUGUAAACUAUUGUCGUUAGGGAAGAUAAAAGACAGUACCUAAGGAGGAAGCUCCGGCUAACUAUGUGCCAGCAGCCGCGGUAAUACAUAGGGAGCAAGCGUUAUCCGGAAUUAUUGGGUGUAAAGGGUGCGUAGACGGAGGAACAAGUUAGUUGUGAAAUCCCUCGGCUUAACUGAGGAACUGCAACUAAAACUAUUCCCCUUGAGUGUCGGAGAGGAAAGUGGAAUUCCUAGUGUAGCGGUGAAAUGCGUAGAUAUUAGGAGGAACACCAGUGGCGAAGGCGACUUUCUGGACGAUAACUGACGUUGAGGCACGAAAGUGUGGGGAGCAAACAGGAUUAGAUACCCUGGUAGUCCACACUGUAAACGAUGGAUACUAGGUGUAGGGUGUAUUAAGCACUCUGUGCCGCCGCAAACGCAUUAAGUAUCCCACCUGGGGAGUACGACCGCAAGGUUGAAACUCAAAGGAAUUGACGGGGGCCCGCACAAGCAGUGGAGUAUGUGGUUUAAUUCGAAGCAACGCGAAGAACCUUACCAGGGCUUGACAUAUACCGGAAUAUACUAGAGAUAGUAUAGUCCUUCGGGACUGGUAUACAGGUGGUGCAUGGUUGUCGUCAGCUCGUGUCGUGAGAUGUUGGGUUAAGUCCCGCAACGAGCGCAACCCCUAUCGUUAGUUGCUAGCAGGUAAAGCUGAGAACUCUAGCGAGACUGCCGGUGAUAAAUCGGAGGAAGGUGGGGAUGACGUCAAAUCAUCAUGCCCUUUAUGUCCUGGGCUACACACGUACUACAAUGGCCGCAACAGAGGGAAGCGAAAUAGUGAUAUGGAGCAAAACCCGAAAAACGGUCUCAGUUCGGAUUGAAGGCUGAAAUUCGCCUUCAUGAAGCUGGAAUUGCUAGUAAUGGCAGGUCAGCAUACUGCCGUGAAUACGUUCCCGGGCCUUGUACACACCGCCCGUCACACCAUGAGAGUUGGAAAUACCCGAAGCCUGUGAGCUAACUAUAUGAGGCAGCAGUCGAAGGUAGAGCCAAUGAUUGGGGUGAAGUCGUAACAAGGUAGCCGUAUCGGAAGGUGCGGCUGGAUCACCUCCUUUCUAAGGAGAAAUAACUCUUAAAGAAUUUAUUGUUUAUUUUUCAAUGUGCUUUUACUUAAGUACAUUGAAAUUAGAUAUAUGACUUACCUGCAUUUGGGGGUAUAGCUCAGUUUGGCUAGAGCGCCUGCCUUGCAAGCAGGAGGUCAGGAGUUCGACUCUCCUUACCUCCACCAUUGGGUAAGGAAAUAUCUAAACAGUACAUUGAAAAAUAUAUAGAUAAAUGCGAAAAAAAAGAUAGGUAAAACUAGCAUGCUAGAAAUAGUAUGUAAAAAACAAUUAAACCGAAACAAAGAAAUUUGUAAAUUUUAAUUAACCGUAAAAGGUAAAUUGAGUAGAAGUAAGUUAUAUAAAUAUAACAAAACAUAUAUUUAAUUUAUAGGUUAAGCUACUAAGAGCAUAGGGUGAAUGCCUAGGCACCAAGAGCCGAAGAAAGACGUGAUAAGCUGCGAAAAGCUACGGGGAGAAGCAAAUAUUCCGUGAUCCGUAGAUGUCUGAAUGGGGAAACCCAAUUGGUAAAAAAAGACCAAUUACCCAUAUAUAAGUAAAGUAGUAUAUGAGGAGGGAACGUAGGGAACUGAAACAUCUUAGUACCUACAGGAAAAGAAAGAAAAAUUCGAUUCCUUGAGUAGUGGCGAGCGAAAGAGGAAGAGCCUAAACUGAAAGUAGUAAUACAUUCAGGGUAAGGACUGCAUAAUCGAUCUAACGAAUCUAAUAGAAUUAUUUGGAAAAGUAAACCAUAGAUAGUGAAAGUCUAGUAUAUGAAAGAUAAGUUAGCGAGGCAGUAUCCAGAGUAGUGCAAGACACGAGAAAUCUUGUAUGAAGAAGCGGGGACCAUCCCGUAAGGCUAAAUACUACUUGGUGACCGAUAGUGGAGA
rnacentral:rRNA from 1 species